AAAUCGCAUGCUAAGAAGCCUUUCAUUGGUUCAAUAUUAGCCAAAAGUUCCCCGCUUUCAUUCUGUAAUCGCAGGAAAUCGAACCUCCUUCGACCACUGUUCUUCCGAUUCUGCACAAGGGCAUCCAUCGUCUGAAGGCAGUUAUAUAUUCAAUAAUAACCUUCAAACACCAUUAUCUAUUAAAAAAGAUAAUUUUGUGUUUGGUAAUGCCAUGACAUCCGACAAUCGUUCGACAAUAAUCCAGAAUUCUUCGUCAAUCAAGUUACCAAGAGGAAAACAUCAAUUAAAAAGGAAGAAUCCAUCUAUAUUUGCUAUACAUGUGUUUGACUUGACAUUAUAUGUGAGAUUUGUCAUGCAAAAUUAUGGAAAUUUGAAUCAAUUAUAGGGCAAAACAAAGGCAAUACAUCUGAUUCCCUAUGUUGCGGUUAUAGCAAUGUUGAGCUACCAUCCUUAAAAGAAGCAUCGUCAUCCUACCGAAAUCUGUAUAGAUCGGUAGAUUCAAAAAGCAAACACUUCAUGAAGAAAAUUCGACAGUACAAUUCAAUGUUUUCAUUUACAUCGAUAGGAGGCAAAGUUGAUUCAUCCAUCAAUAAAGGCAAAGCACCAUACAUAUUCA